rnacentral:lncRNA from 1 species
GGUACUUGUACAGUCAAGCAAGAUUGAAGUUCCAAUUGGAAUUCUACAAAAGGAGGCCUCUCAGCCUCGAGCAGAUUAGAAUUUGCAUGUUAAACUGACUGAUGCCCAUCAUGGCAUUGUUUUGUUCAUGUGUAUCUAGAGAGAGAUGAUUGUGCUAGUACUAUAGCUCACUUUAUGUGUGGUAGAGUUGCUACAUGUCGAGUGGAGUUUAUGCAGGGGAUCAUUUGCAGCUGAGCACCUCAUGUUAAAAGGAGAUGCUACAGGUGUUUGCCCUUUCUCCUGUAUUUCUGGGAGUAAUUGUUUGUCUUCUGGC